GCAACCUGAUCCAGCCAUGCCGCGUGAGUGAUGAAGGCCUUCGGGUUGUAAAGCUCUUUUGGCGGGGACGAUGAUGACGGUACCCGCAGAAUAAGCCCCGGCUAACUUCGUGCCAGCAGCCGCGGUAAGACGAAGGGGGCUAGCGUUGUUCGGAAUUACUGGGCGUAAAGCGAGUGUAGGUGGUUGUUCAAGUUGGAUGUGAAAGCCUUGAGCUCAACUCAAGAAAUGCAUUCAGGACUGAGCGACUAGAGGACCGGAGAGGAUAGUGGAAUUCCCAGUGUAGUGGUGAAAUACGUAGAGAUUGGGAAGAACACCAGUGGCGAAGGCGGCUAUCUGGACGGUUUCUGACACUAAGACUCGAAAGCGUGGGGAGCAAACAGGAUUAGAUACCCUGGUAGUCCACGCCGUAAACGAUGGGUGCUAGACGUUGGCGAGCUUGCUCGUCAGUGUCGCAGCUAACGCGUUAAGCACCCCGCCUGGGAGUACG
rnacentral:rRNA from 3 species